GAUGAAGAACGCAGCGAAAUGCGAUAAGUAAUGUGAAUUGCAGAAUUCAGUGAAUCAUCGAAUCUUUGAACGCACAUUGCGCCCGCCAGUAUUCUGGCGGGCAUGCCUGUUCGAGCGUCAUUUCAACCAUCAAGCCCCCGGGCUUGUGUUGGGGACCUGCGGCUGCCCGCAGGCCCUGAAAACCAGUGGCGGGCUCGCUGUCACACCGAGCGUAGUAGCAUAUCAUCUCGCUCUGGGCGUGCUGCGGGUUCCGGCCGUUAAAGCCUUUUUUUUUACCCAAGGUUGACCUCGGAUCAGGUAGGAAGACCCGCUGAACUUAAGCAUAUCAAUAAGCGGAGGA
rnacentral:misc_RNA from 1 species